UCUCUCUUUUCCCUCUCCCCCCUCUCGCUCUCCUCUCUCUCUCCCCUCUCCUGUCUCUCCCUCUCUCUCCCCCCCCCUCCCUCUCAACUCUCUUUCCCUCUCUCUCUUUCAUAUCUGCAUCUCCCAAUAAGUGUCAGAAGGACAGGGGAGUUUCACACCGGAGCGUCCGCAUCAGUAACACCCACUCUCGCCAGCAGAGCUUCGGGCUUUUUAUAAAUGCCGACAAGAACCGGAGGGGACGUUGAUGGCACAGCCGGAGGAACCUGAGUCCUCAUUGUCCCUCCCUCCGCCCGGUUCUCAUCGGGGAGCUGCUCUGGGUGCCCAGGUCCAACUAAAGCCCUGGCAGGUUUACAGAACUUCGGCAAUUAUUUCCAUCACUUCCGUGCGGGAUUGCAAAAUCUGGAUCUCUCCUGCCCCUCUAACAAAAAAGCCGGAUUGAUUAAAUAGGUUGGGAUUCCCAGAGGACUGUUCUCCGUGUGUAGGCGGGGAUGAAAACAAUCUUGUGCCUCAACCAGCCACCACUUCCUGAAGAACUACCUCGGGUUGUCAUAACCACACUUGUGGACGGAGGCUGCAAGCUGGCUCCCAAGUAUGCCGAGAGCUCGCCAUCCGCUGUUGCGCUGUGAGGGCCUGUUAAAGCUACAUCUGCUUGCCACGAGGAUGGGCCGUCCGUCUGUCACCGAGUACCAUGGUAGGUGGGACUGCAAAGAAGACCGUGAGGAAUCAAUCCUAGCCCUGCUGGGGAUUGUCGGGACUGUCCUGAACUUGGUUGUGAUCAUCUUUGUCUACAUUUACACUUCUGUUUAACUGGAGAACGACCCCAGAAGCGGCUGGCUCCGCAACCGGACUCGUCGCUUUGUAAUGAAGGCUCACGGCCUGCCAACAAUGCUUACCCCAGCGACAUCAGCGGCGGUCAAGCUUCACGACUGUAACAUGCGGACGAUCCUCGGGUUUUCAUCAGGAAUGGCUUUCGUCCUCCCAAUUUCAAAACAAGAAUUAUGACGUCCAGCCAUCUGGGAAGGCUGGCCUCUUCGGUGACGCUUAAGUGUACCGUAAUGUAAAUAGUAUUUAUUCACCACUUUAUGAGGUACACCUGCUCGUUAAUGCACUUAUCUAAUCAUCCAAUCAGGUGGCGGCAACUAAAUGCAUCAAAGCUCGCAGACACGAUCAAGCGGUUCAGUUGUUGUUCAGACUGGAUAUCAGAACGGGGGAAGAAAUGUGAUCUUAAGUGACUUUGACCGUGGAACAAUUGUUGGUGCCAGAUGGGGUGGCUUGAGUAUCUCAGAGGUGGCUGGUCUCCUGGGAUUUUCAUGCUCAGCGGCCUCUAGAGUUUACAGAGAACAGUGCGAGAAACAAACAAGUGACUGGCACAGAGAGAGGUCGGAGGAGAAUGGCCAGACUGGUUCAGGCUGACAGGAAGGCGACAGUAACUCUAAUAACCACAGUGGCAUCGAGAAAACAACCUCUCCCUCAAUGUCUCAGAAACAAAGGAGCUGGUCCUGGACGACAGGAGGAAUGGAGACGGGCUAAACUCCUAAUGACAUCAAUGGACCAGGGGUUGAGAAGGUGAACUGCUUUAAGUUCCUCGACAUCCCCAUCCCCGAGGAUCUCACGUGGUCUGUACACACCGGCUGUGUGGCACAACAGCACCUCUUUCAUCUCAGACGGUUGAGGAAGUUUGGUAUGGGCCUCCAUAUCCUAAGGACUUCCUACAGGGGCACAAUUGAGAGCAUCCUGACAGGCUGCAUCACUGCCUGGUACGGGAACCGUACCUCCCUCAAUCGCAGGACUCUGCAGAGAGUGGUGCGGACAGCCCAGCACAUCUGAAGUUCUAAACUUCCCAUAAUUCAGGACAUUUACAGAGACAGGUGUGAGAAAAGGGCCUGAAGGAUCAUUGGGGACCCGAGUCACCCCAACCACAAACUGUUCCAGCUGCUACCAUCCGGGAAACGGUACCGCAGCAUAAAAACCAGGACCAACAGGCUCCGGGACAGCUUCUCUCACCAGGCCAUCGGACUGAUAAAUUCACACUGACACAACUGUAUUUCUAUGUUAUAUUGACUGUCCUGUUGUGCAUACUAUUUAUUACAAAUCACUAUAAACGGCACAUUGCACAUUUAGACGGAGACGUAACGUAAAGAUUUUUACUCAUGGUUUACAGCCAGCCCGGAGGUUUCAUCGCAGAAAGCGGAAGAGCACUGGCAGGUCUCUGGGAGUCGCCGACAGCAAGGCAAAAACCCAGAUCUCAAGAGGCCGUAAGGAGCCAGAGAGCAGAGAAGGCCAACCGAGGCCCAGCGUCGGCCAGAACCGUUCACGCUUCCGAGGCCCGCGGUCGGUUCGGAGCCGCUGCUCCUCGUGAGGGCGCGUCUUCGUAUUGGCCAGGCGGCUCGCGACCGGCUCCUUGGGGAAUUCUGGCGGACUGCCUGCUUUCUUCCACGGCUAUGCCUGUAAGUUUACCGCGACAAGCACUGGCCAGUCUGAGGGGACUCAAUCAGGAUUGGAAUCUGGUUUAACAUCUGCGGCACAUGUUGUGAAAUUUGUUAACUUUACGUCAACAGUGCAAUCAAAUACAUGAUAAAUAUAAAAACUAUUAAUAUAUUGGUAAUACAGAAUUACUGUAAAUAUAGACAUAGAUAUAAUAAUUAAAUAAUAAUGAGAAAAAAUGAAUUACAGUAGGUAUAUAUGUGUAGGCCUCUGUUAGUCUCGAUAGACCAUGGAUUUGCACUUUGGAAAGUUUCCAUGGCGCAAGCCUGGGCAGGGUUGUGUGGGAGACCGGCAGUUGCCCAAGCUGCAAGUCUCCCCUCUCCAUGCCACCGAUGUUGUCCAAGGGAAGGGUAUUAACACCCAAGCAGCUUGGCACCGGUGUCGUCGCAGAGCAAUGUGUGGUUGAGUGCCUCGCUCAAGGACACACAUGAACAGCCUCAGCCAAGGCUCGAACUAGCGACCUUCAGAUCACUAGAUCAAUACCUUAACCACUUGGCUACGCGCCAACACAAAGUUUAUAUAUAUAUUAAACAGUUAAAUAAGUAGUGCAAAAACAGAAAUAAAAAAAGUAGUGAGGUAGUGUUCCUGGGUUCGAUGUCCAUUCAGAAAUUGGACGGCAGAGGGGAAGAAGCAGUUCCUGAAUUGCUGUGUGUGUGUCUUCGGGCUCCUGUACCUCCUCCCUGAUGGUAGCAGUGAGAAGAGGGCAUGCCCUGGGUAUUGGGGGUCCGUAAUGAUGGACGCUGCCUUUCUGAGGCACCGCUCCUUGAAGGUGGCCUAGUCACGACGGAGGUUGGUGCCCAUGAUGGAGCUGACUGGGUUUACAACCCUCUGCAGCUCACUUCGAUCCUGUGCAGUAGAUUCCCCCCACCCCAUACCGGACGGUGGUGAAUCAAGUUAGACCUGGACUCAUCCCCACUUCCCACUUUCUCAGAAGGACUGCUUACAAUGACGACACUUCCAGUUUCUUCCCCCCGAACCCUGGGCACGGUGGUAUAUGGUCACGCACUUGGCUAGAAGGAAUAUUUUCUAAAUUGGGAGUGAAUUCGAAAGUUGGGGAGACCUAGGGCCAGGAUUCCCUGGAGAUGAACUUCAGCUGGGGUGGGGGGGUGGUGUAAGGAAGGCAAACGCAACGUUGGCAUUGGUCUCCAGAAAAGCAGGCACCUCAUACAAAGGGAUUGGGCAGACCACACCUGGGGUAUUGAGAGCAGUCUGAACCCCUCACCUGAGACAGGACGUGCUGACUUCAGAGAGGAAGCUCAUGAGAGCGACCCCGGGAACGAAGGGGUUAAUCUAUGAGCCGCAGACGCUGAACGCCGGAGGAACUCAGCAGGCCAGGCAGCAUCGACGGGGGUGAACGAACCGUUAACGCUUCGAGCUGACGGCCCUUCUCCGGGACCAGGAG